rnacentral:rRNA from 1 species
GAUGAACGCUGGCGGCGUGCCUAAUACAUGCAAGUCGAGCGAACAGACGAGGAGCUUGCUCCUCUGACGUUAGCGGCGGACGGGUGAGUAACACGUGGAUAACCUACCUAUAAGACUGGGAUAACUUCGUGAAACCGGAGCUAAUACCGGAUAAUAUAUUGAACCGCAUGGUUCAAUAGUGAAAGACGGUUUUGCUGUCACUUAUAGAUGGAUCCGCGCCGCAUUAGCUAGUUGGUAAGGUAACGGCUUACCAAGGCAACGAUGCGUAGCCGACCUGAGAGGGUGAUCGGCCACACUGGAACUGAGACACGGUCCAGACUCCUACGGGAGGCAGCAGUAGGGAAUCUUCCGCAAUGGGCGAAAGCAUGACGGAGCAACGCCGCGCGAGUGAUGAAGGUCUUCGGAUCGUAAAACUCUGUUAUUGGGGAAAAACAAAUGUGUAAGUAAAUGUGCACGUCUUGACGGUACCUAAUCAAAAAGCCACGGCUAACUACGUG